CUGGCUCCAGACAGAGCUUCCUCCUUCAGGGCCUGCCCCUGCCCCCACCCUGUACUGUGGAGCCUGUUCUUGGCUUCCUGACAGAGUCUAAAUUGCCUUCCGCAUUUGCAAGUGACUCAGCCGUUGCUUAGGGAUUUAAUCAACCAAUAAUAGGAGACUUGAGAGAGACAAACCCUUGGGGACUUUCGCUUUUCCUUGGCUGGCUUCGAGGACACAAGAAUGGUACUACAUGGAAGCUUCCAAAACUUCACUGUCCAAUGUGGUAGCCACAGUGGCCACUGAGUGCUUGAAAUGUCCUGAUGGAACUGAAGUUCCCUUUGGGAGUAUAGACCAAAAUUAUUUUGGGGAACACAAGGUGGGAGGCCUGGCUUCUGUCACUGUUUCUCCGCUGGACCUGGACGUCGGCAGAAUGAAAACAUGAGACUAGAAGGAAACAAAGUCAGCCUGCUCACUCACCUGAUACAGCACUGCUUACAGCAGAUAAGAUAUGGAGAUGGGCCGGGC